rnacentral:lncRNA from 1 species
AUUGCAUAAUGCAGUAGCCACUGGAUUUGCAGCAGAAACACUCUGCUACAGAACAAGUGUCUUGGUUCACAGCAAAGAGGACAAAGAAAACAGCAAGUUUUAGGGGGUUGAAUCCUGGAUUCCCCUGGCAAACACCAUUCUACUUUCCGUCUCUAUGAAUUUGACUACUCGAAGUACCUCAUUAAAAGAAGAGAAAAAACAUCAAUUAGAAAAUAGAAAAGAGCCCUCCCUGGUGAAUUCCUGCUUCUCCUCCAUGUCAUCAUAGGUGUUGAUGGUGCUUGCCUCUGGAUAAUGCUGACUUCCUCUAGAGUGGUCACCAAGGUGAAAUGUUGGUGCCAAAUGAACUUUUCUGGUUCUUCUGAAUAUGCCACUGUUGCUGGAGAAAUGUCACUGCUAGAGAACAGAAGACUAUUAUUCCAAAGGGUAUUUGAGACUGACUGAAUCAGGUCUGGAACAUUAUUGAAAUGGUGGUGACCAGAUGGAUAUAAACGGGCUGUGGAAAAAGAGAAUGCAUGGCCAAAAAUGGUGGUGCUCUCUGUCCAAAAACUGAGGCCCUAUGACCAUGAAUGAAGCCAGAGGGCAGGUAGGAAUAGAUCAUUUGCUCCAGAAGAAGCUGGUUGCCAUGUCUUGAGGACAGUAAACCCUCUGGGGAGGUUCCUGUGGUAAGGAACAAGGGCUCCUGGCAAUAGCCUCUGAGUGAGCCACCUUGAAAAUGGAUUGUCCAGCCCCAGUCAAGCUUUCAGAUGACUGUAGCUCCUGCCAAUGUCUUCACCACAACCUCAUGAGAUCCCAAGCUACAACCACUCAGAACUUCAUCUUUUGGGAAGCACCAGGGAGAGCUGCCUGUGCCUGGCAGAAGCUGCCCAUGCCCCACUGAUACCCCACAGUACUUCCUGUUCUGCUUAGUACUCCUGCUUCUUUCUACAAACAACUGUGAUUCUCUACCUGGGAGCUUCCUCUGGCCACAGGAGCCUGCUCACCUGAUUGGGACACCCUAGCAGUACUGGCUCAUAGAUGGAAGGGACUUGCCUUGUCGCUGAUGAGACUUUCGACUUGGACUUUUGAGUCAAUGCUGGAAUGAGUUAAGACUUUGGGGAACUGUUGGAAGGGUGUGAUUGUGUUUUGAAUUGUGAGGACAUGAGAUUUUGAAGAGGCUAAUGGCAGCGUCCCCACCUAAAUCUCUUCUUGAAUUGUAGUUCCCAUAAUCCCCACGUGUCGUGGGGUGGAGCCGGUGGAGAUAAUUGAAUCAUGGGAACACUUUCCCCCAUGCUGUUAUUGUGAUUGUGAAUUCUCACGAGAUCUGAUGGUUGUAUAAACGCCUUCCCUCUUCGCUGGGCACUCAUUUUUCUCCUUCCUGCCACCAUGUGAAGAAGGAUAUGCUUGCUUCUUGUGCCAUGAUUGUAAGUU